rnacentral:lncRNA from 1 species
ACUCUAUAUACAUCUGAUCAUCACAAGGUGUUUCAUUGUGCUUCUAUGUGUUUUAAAACAAAAACUUUUCUCUGGGGCAACUUCAUCAUCCCAUUCUAUCGUUGCAUAAUUGUAGUAAUUAUGUGAUGAUUUCAUGUAACUAUAAAAUACUUUAAUUUAUAGCCUGUGUAUUGGUUUCUUUACUUAUCAUUUUUGUGUGGGUGUAUACAUUGACUCGACUAUGAGCUUGUUAGAAGCGUUUGCAACCAUACUAUCUCGUUUGCUUAGUUAACUUAAUUACAACUGUAUUGCUUAGUGAUGUUGUUGUUGUUGCUAAAAGGACAAACAAAAGUAACUUUGUAUCAUCUUAUUGGAUAAACUUAUGAAAACCCUUUGACAAACAAAAGUUCUGUCACAAGGUCUUGUGUUAUCAUAUUUUUUUUAAAAAAAUUUAAUAUCAAAACAACAGCAAAUACAUAUGACUCUUGACUUUAAGCAUCUGCAGCAAAUAAAAGGUAUGUUCCAUCUGUGCUGACUCGAACUAGUUUAUAGGAGUUAAGACCCACAGGCUGAUAAACGCGUGUCAUUUCAUCUUUAGACGAGGUCAGUUGUCGUCGUUUUGAUAAAAGCCAUUUGCUCAUUCUCCCACUCUUAAGCCGACGCGAGCCGUAUUUAAGCUGUCUCCUACCACGGGUAUUUGUAAUCGUAUUCGAAUCUUUUUUUUCUUUCUAAUACAAUACAGUAUUAGUUUGUAAUUUAUCACUUUUGUUUCAUUUCUUUAUAAUCGCACUAGUGCUGAUUGUUUACAUUUUAUUAAUCGUAAAUGUAUUUUUCUUUUUGGAAAACAUUAGAAAAUUAAGGAAAUCAAUGACGAUGUAUCAAACGACCUAUUACCAGAGUUUCAUUAUAAUAUAAUUAGUUAUAUAUAUAUAUAUAUAUAGAAUUUUAAUUUAUCUUAAUCUACGCAUAAGAUUAUUCCUAGUGCAGUUUAUAUUGUUUAGAUGGUAUUGCGUUUGAGAAUUAGGGGAGUUCAAUUUAUUAGGAUUGAGUGGUAUUCAUGUCGAACUAUCGAAUAGUCUCUAAGUCAUAAACUAGUACUACACAUGUAUUAAUUUAAAAAUUUGCUGCAUUUAUUUGGCAAAAAAAAAGUUUGCUGUACUCUAAAAUAAAAUUAAAAUCUCUAUAUAUUCAAAGGAUCACAUCAGCUAAUUAAAUGUUUCCAAAUUUGAGUGUUAUAAAAUUUUCCAGAAAUAACGUUGAUAGCUGAGAGGGACCUUUGAAAAUCAUCACAUCUUAUAAUUAUAUGUUCACAAAUUAUUUUAUUAAACCCCAUUUGCGUGUUUAUGUAUAUUUAAUUAUUUAUAUACAAAUUGAAAAGCCUUUCAACAAAUCAUCAAUAAGGUUUAAACCUAAAUUAACAAUCUAUAGCGAAAUCAUUCCUCCUUAACCUAGAAUCUAAAUCCAGAAGACGAAUCGGCUAAUCAAACGACUAACGAAGAAACAAUCUGAGGAUUCGGGAAAAGAACUUUUACCUUCUCUGCGUCGCUUUCGCUUCUCUGAAUUCAAAUUAGUGCUCCGAUCUCGAAAAGGGAAGAUAAUGAAAGUAAUCUCACGUGUAGGGCUGUUGAUAUUUAAUUUAUAGGCAACGAUGUCAAAAGCAAGUUGACGAUCCUACGGUUGUUAUCGCUCAUCGGUGUGUUUCUCGUGUUUCUUAAUCG